GUCAGACCGCGGGGGUGGCGGCCGGGCCCACAGACCCCGCUCCGCCGGCCCUGCUCCGCCGCCCCGCCGCUCCCCGCGCGCCGGCGGCCAAGGGCGCCGUGGUGUCACGGGCGGGGGCGGGCAGAGCCGAGCGGGGCCGGCGGGGACCUGGGACCCGCGCCCGCGCCCCCGCCCGGGCCUCGCCGCCGGCCGGGCGCAGCGCGGGGCUCGCGCUUUGUGCCGCGAGUGACAGCGACACAAAGGGGCGCGGGCGCGGGCGCGGGGCCCCGCCGCCUUCCGCCCUUCCUCCGUCCUCCCUGGGCCUCUGCCUCCCCGGCUUCUACGGACUUUGCUGUUGCUGCGAAGUAAAGUGCGGCCUGGCCCGCGGGACGCGCCUCCCUCGGGUUACGGACUCGCCGACGGGCGCGGGUGCCCGGGCGUCGGUCUCGGCUACGGCGCAGUGCGCUCGUGGUGACCGCCCGUCCGGGAGUAGAACCCACGCGUGGGUUUCAGAGCUCAGACCGCGCACUGUACUUUCCCCGCCCCAGUCGGAGUGUAAUGCAAACCCGAGUCCAAAAAAUACUCCUCAGGAGGCGACCCGCGCAGGAGGGACCCUGUGCCGGCGAAGUUGCUCCUGGGAGAGCACAGCUGUUGUUGGCUGGGUUAGGGCUCCGGGUAUUGUUGCUGCCUAGGGAAAGAAACCAUUCCAUUUGCAUUUUAAUGAAAGUUGAAACACCGAAGGGGAGGUAUCUGCGCUUCCCAAGGCGUUUGGAAUACAGUGUAGAUUUUAACGCCAUAGAUACUGGUUUCUUAAGAACGUGUGUUACUAAGCAGAGAAGUGUUGGUGAAAGAUUGGAGAGUUAAACUGAAGUUUAGGAGGCAUUUGUCAGCUUAAUAGGUGAACGGAAGGAAAAACAAUAACGGACAAUGCUGCAUGAAUCAGAUUGACGGUGUUUGUCCUCAGUAGCUUAAUUUGUAACUCUUGCUAUUCUGGUCUUUGGAAAGGUGGUUAGGUUUGUUUCAAUCAUUGAUACUGGAGGCGCUAGCACAGGGUCCCCAGGGGAAAACCAUCGCCCACGCUAGGAAGGGAGGCCGCUCAUUGGUUAGCGCAGGGCACGGAGGGCUUGGCCUGCUUGGGGAGCGUUUGUUGAGAAACUACCUUGGGAGGAGGGAAGUGCCUCGCUUUGUUUAAAUGCACGCACUUGCGGAGCUCUUCAGGCCUUCCUGGUCCUGGGCUGUGCUGUCAGGCCUGGAGGUGAAGUUCUGCGGGUGACGCGUGGUCCCAGCUUUGGCAGGUCGGUGUCACUCCCAGGGCCGGUGCAGUGCACCUGCCCGGACUCGCGAUUCUGGCUGUGACAGACUUCCAGAGUCCUCACGGGGCGCUGGGUUUGUAUUGCUGACAAAAACUGAAAUUAGUGUUUUGGUUUCACUUGUGGAAGCUCGAAUUUCUCUGCCGAUUCCUCCAGGGCUCCACCCAUACCCAGCGGUGCGAACCAAGGGCCACUGCUGAAAAGUGUUUCCUUGUUUGCUGAGCUUGCCACGAAACCCUUCUUAUGAUUCACAGACACACCUAGCAGAAACUAGUUUUCAUCCUGCCUGUAAUCCAUGUCAGUGAAUUAUUAUGAAAUUGCUGGAAAUAAAAACUUCCAAAGCUAUGGAUGUUUGAUGAUGUAGACUUGUUAGUAUUAUAGACUCUCUGGUAUUUGCAAAACAUUAGAUCUACUUUUUAAUGCUGUGAAUGCUUCUAAUACAAGUUCAGUGGUUUGUUUUGUUGUUUUGCUGUUGUUUGAGACAGAGUCUCUUUACAUUUCAUCACUAAAUUGCUCAGGCUGGGUUUGAACUUGCAGUCCUCCUGCCUCGGCCUCCCAGAAUGCUGGAAUUACAGGCAUGUGCUACCAUGGUUUAGGUGUUGAGAUACAGUUUUCUUUGUUUUGUAAAUAACCCAAUGAACUAUUUUCAUGUAAUUGUCUCCUAAUAUGGGGACAGGCCAAAACUUGGGACCAGCUGUCAGGACUGGUUCGUGAGAAUAACCCUUUCUCAGUGAUGCCACCAACCUGCCUGUUACACCCACAGCAGGCAAGCAUCGCCAAGCCAGCUUUACAGCUGCAGCCCUAAGUGUGGGAGAGCCGGGUUGCCAAGUGCAGCCACUGGUUAUCUUGGAAACACCGCUGCAGAACACAACCACAAGUGAUUGUGCCAAGCGUACAGUGUUUCCCGGGUCCAGAGCGCCAGGCGCUGCCUCGGCCUGCUGCCAGCGUAGUGAACUCUGUGACGUGAGAGGGUGAGUUUGGCCAGCACGGCUGGGCUGGCCAUGGCAGGAGAGAAGGUGCAGAAGGGGACAGCGGAGACCGCGGUGCCCAAGCUUGAUUAUUCCCAGCAGGAUUCAGACCCUGCACUGUACAGUGCACGAUCCCUGGCUUAAGCUAUUUCAUCUUUGCUCGAUAACAUUGAUUUGGGGUCGCCUACUCCAGAGUAGUACAUUGUAUCAGCUUCAACUUACACUUUCUCCCUUUAGUUACACGUGUCACCCUUCACAGUGCAGAGUAGCAGGGAGAGUUUACCCUUUCGUGGAAAGUAAGUUCAGCAAUAGUAACAACCUGCCUGGAGUUUGAAAAAGUUGGAACUCUCUGUUUUAUACUUACGGAAGAGUGUUCAGAACAGACUCUGAAAAAUCUGGGAAUGAAAAUACAAGAUGGAUAAACAACGGUGAAGUGUUUUGAAGGACUCGUGAGCGGGAACCAAUGAGCUGCCUCACUAAAUUACUGCAGGCUGGGACUCUGGGCCGUGGCCGCCAGGUGCUCCGCCCACCCCGCUGAGUGGCUGAGGAAGCGGGAUGGGCCCGCCACCGCCAGCAGGACAUGAGCUGAGGCAGGCGGUGAGGACGCAGCGUUGGGUAAGAGCAACAGCCAGUGAGCUGCGUGUCACCCCUCAAUACCCACGUGGUCCGCGCUGUCAGGGGCUAAGGUCUGUGAACACCUGGAGUUGCGUGUGGACUUCCAUGCACGUGAGGCUUCUACCCAGUCUGUCAUGUCUGCACUUUUUUUUUUUUUUUUUGAGGCAGGGUUUUGUUGUGUGGUUCAGGCUGACCUUGGACUUACCAUGUGGCCCAUGCUGGUGGCAAUCCUGCCUCAGCCUCCUGAGUGCUGGGAUUACAG
ensembl:lncRNA